GAAGGCAUCUCCAUUAGCAGGGGACCAGACACCUUCCAUCUGACUGCUCUGCUAUCCUUGGCAUGCUGCCUCAUGGUCCAAAGUGGCUGCUGAGCACCAGCCCUCGUGUCUGCAUUCUAGCCAGCAGGAAGGAGAAAAGGAAAGGGGGCUGGCCGAAAGGCAAGAAGAGAAACCCCCCGAGGGACCUUGCUGUUCCGUGUUCCUACGACAGGGUACAUGAUAUUCCUGAACAAGCAGAGAAGUCAGCUGAGGGCCACACACCCCGAUCUGCCUUUCACAGAAAUCAUGAAGAUGCUGGCUGUUCAGUGGGCCCAGCUGUCUCAGGAUAAAAAGGGGGAGAUGAACUCAAUGACCUCUACUGCGGGACCUCCAGGCAGCUCUUCAGCUCCCUGCGCAACAAGAAGGAACCUGCUGCAAAGGCAGCACCUGCAGCCCCUCUCAGGGGAAUUUAAAAAAGAUCCUGCCACGUACUCAAAGCACCUGGAGCCUCUGGAGGAAGAGGAGGGACAAAUGAGUUCAAGUCAGAGGAGGAAACUGAGGGCCCCGAGUCCCUUCCGCUCAGAUGUCCGCAUCCAGAGAGGAGUUCUGCUUCUCUCAACCUGUGUUUCUUGCAAGAGUUUAUCUAUAAAUUGCUGAAAAAUGGGUAAUCAAGUUCAGCAACUCCCUGGCAUCUGUGAUGACCUAUGGUUUGUAAUCCUAGUCAGAAUCACCUACAUAGAGGUUAUAAUAUUAAUCAGAACAAAACAGAAAAGUCGCUAGAGGAAUAACAAUAGUAAAAAUUACAAUCAGAUGAAGAAUAAAGUUUUCAAUGAGGCACAGUUCUAAGCACUUCAUACAAAUAACCUGUCUUAAUUCUCAUAAAAGUACUGCAAGGCAGGUGAUAAUAUCAUCUCCUUCUAAAGAUAAAAUGCAGCACAGAGAGGUUAAGUAACUUGUCCAAGGUUGAACAGCUAGUGAGUGGUCAAUCUGAGAUUUAAAUCCAGGCUGUCUGGGUCCAAGAACUCUGUUCUUCACUACUUCUCAACAACAUCAACUAUGUAAAAUGACACACAUACAUAAACCCACAUCAAUGGUAAUGGUGGUAAUCUCUGGCCGGCAAGAUGAAAGAAGAUGUUAUGUAAUUCUUCAGUCCUUUCUGUGUCUGCCACAUUUUCCCCAAUGGAUAGAUGUCACUUAAAUUAUCAGAGGAAGAAACAAACUCUAUUAAAAGGAAUUUCAAGGGCCAGGCAAG
rnacentral:lncRNA from 1 species